GAUGAACGCUGGCGGCGUGCCUAACACAUGCAAGUCGAGCGAUUCUCUUCGGAGAAGAGCGGCGGACGGGUGAGUAACGCGUGGGUAACCUGCCCUGUACACACGGAUAACAUACCGAAAGGUAUGCUAAUACGAGAUAAUAUGCUUUUAUCGCAUGGUAGAAGUAUCAAAGCUUUUGCGGUACAGGAUGGACCCGCGUCUGAUUAGCUAGUUGGUAAGGUAACGGCUUACCAAGGCGACGAUCAGUAGCCGACCUGAGAGGGUGAUCGGCCACAUUGGAACUGAGACACGGUCCAAACUCCUACGGGAGGCAGCAGUGGGGAAUAUUGCACAAUGGGCGAAAGCCUGAUGCAGUAACGCCGCGUGAGCGAUGAAGGCCUUCGGGUCGUAAAGCUCUGUCCUCAAGGAAGAUAAUGACGGUACUUGAGGAGGAAGCCCCGGCUAACUCUGUGCCAGCAGCCGCAGUAA
rnacentral:rRNA from 1 species